AGAGUUUGAUCAUGGCUCAGGACGAACGCUGGCGGCGCGCUUAACACAUGCAAGUCGAGCGAGAACCAGACCUUCGGGUCUGGGGAAAGCGGCGAACGGGUGAGUAACACGUGGGUAACCCACCCUUGGUACCGGGAUAGCCCGAGGAAACUCGGAUUAAUACCGGAUGGCCCAACAGCUCUUCGGGGCGGUUGGAAAAGGUAGCUUCGGCCUCCGACCAAGGACGGGCCCGCGGCGGAUUAGCUUGUUGGUGAGGUAACGGCUCACCAAGGCGACGAUCCGUAGCUGGUCUGAGAGGACGAUCAGCCACACUGGGACUGAGACACGGCCCAGACUCCUACGGGAGGCAGCAGUGGGGAAUCUUGCGCAAUGGGCGAAAGCCUGACGCAGCGACGCCGCGUGGGGGAAGAAGGCUUUCGGGUUGUAAACCCCUUUCAGGAAGGACGAAGCCACUCGGGUUAAUAGCCCAGAGGGUGACGGUACUUCCAGAAGAAGCCCCGGCUAACUACGUGCCAGCAGCCGCGGUAAUACGUAGGGGGCAAGCGUUGUCCGGAUUUAUUGGGCGUAAAGAGCGUGUAGGCGGUUAGGUAGGUCCGUUGUGAAAACUCGAGGCUCAACCUCGAGACGCCGAUGGAAACCAUCUGACUAGAGUCCGGAAGAGGAGAGUGGAAUUCCUGGUGUAGCGGUGAAAUGCGCAGAUAUCAGGAAGAACACCCGUGGCUAAGGCGGCUCUCUAGUACGUGACUGACGCUGAGACGCGAAAGCGUGGGGAGCGAACAGGAUUAGAUACCCUAGUAGUCC
rnacentral:rRNA from 1 species